AUUGAACGCUGGCGGCAGGCCUAACACAUGCAAGUCGAACGAGUGGCGGACGGGUGAGUAAUGUCUGGGAAACUGCCUGAUGGAGGGGGAUAACUACUGGAAACGGUAGCUAAUACCGCAUACCAUCGGAUGUGCCCAGAUGGGAUUAGCUAGUAGGUGGGGUAACGGCUCACCUAGGCGACGAUCCCUAGCUGGUCUGAGUGGAUGAACAGACACACUGGAACUGAGACACGGUCCAGACUCCUACGGGAGGCAGCAGUGGGGAAGAUUGCGCAAUGGGGGCAACCCUGACGCAGCCAUGCCGCGUGAAUGAAGAAGGCCUUCGGGUUGUAAAGUUCUUUCGGUAUUGAGGCGUUAAAUACAGAAGAAGCACCGGCUAACUCCGUGCCAGCAGCCGCGGUAAUAC
rnacentral:rRNA from 1 species